GACGAACGCUGGUGGCGUGCUUAACACAUGCAAGUCGAACGGGAUUUCGUAAACAGAAGCCUCGGUGGAAGAUUACUAAUGCGAUUGGCGAAAGGGUGAGUAACGCGUGAGCAACCUUCCUAUGACAGUGGGAUAGCCUCGGGAAACCGGGAUUAAUACCGCAUAAAAUCGUACAAACACAUUUUUUAACGGUCAAAGAUUUAUCGGUCAUAGAUGGGCUCGCGUCUGAUUAGCUAGUUGGUGAGAUAACAGCCCACCAAGGCGACGAUCAGUAGCCGGUCUGAGAGGAUGAACGGCCACAUUGGAACUGAGACACGGUCCAAACUCCUACGGGAGGCAGCAGUGGGGAAUAUUGCACAAUGGGGGAAACCCUGAUGCAGCGACGCCGCGUGAACGAAGAAGGUAUUCGUAUCGUAAAGUUCUGUCCUAUGGGAAGAUAAUGACAGUACCAUAGAAGAAAGCUCCGGCUAAAUACGUG
rnacentral:rRNA from 1 species